rnacentral:rRNA from 1 species
GUGUCAGCCGCCGCGGUAAUACGGAGAGUGCAAACGUUGUUCGGAUUCACUGGGCGUAAAGGGCACGUAGGCGGCUCGGCAAAUCAGUCGUGGAAUCCCGUCGCUUACCGGCGGAACGGCGGCUGAAAAUACCGGGCUCGAGGGCGUGAGGGGUCACUGGAACUCUUGGUGAAGCGGUGAAAUGCGUAGAUAUCAAGAGGAACGCCGGAGGCGAAAGCGAGUGACUGGCGCGUUCCUGACGCUGAGGUGCGAAAGCUAGGGGAGCAAACAGGAUUAGAUACCCGCGUAGUCC